GCCCCUGUAGCUCAAUUGGAUAGAGCGGCUCCGUCCUAAGGAGAAGGUUGCCUGUUCAACUCAGGCCAGGGGCA
rnacentral:tRNA from 3 species